UUAAGCUACGAAGAGCGUAGGGUGGAUGCCUUGGCACUUGACGCCGAUGAAGGACGUGACUAACUGCGAUAAGCUGUGGGGAGUUGUAAAUGAACAUUGAUCCACAGAUUUCCGAAUGAGGAAACUCACCAAGAGAAUGUCUUGGUAUCCAUACGUAAAUCCAUAGCGUAUGGAGGGGCACCCGGGGAACUGAAACAUCUCAUUACCCGGAGGAAAAGAAAGAAAACGAUCGAUUCCCUUAGUAGUGGCGAGCGAAAGGGGAAGAGCCUAAACUCAAGCAUAGCGAUAUGUUUGGGGGUUAUGGGCUCGCAUAAUUACGAAGGCCGCAGAGCAGAACGGUUUGGAAAGACCGGCCAAAGAGGGUGAUAGCCCCGUAAGCGGAGGUGACCGAGUAAGGCGAGUUCCGGAGUACCACAGGACACGAGGAAUCCGGUGGGAACAUGGGAGGACCAUCUCCUAAGGCUAAAUACGUCAAGUGACCGAUAGCGAAUAGUACUGUGAAGGAACGGUGAAAAGAACCCCGGGAGGGGAGUGAAAGAGAACCUGAAACCUUAUGCUUACAAGCAGACAGAGCACUACUAUAAAGUGUGAUGUCGUACCUUUUGUAGAAUGGGCCGGCGAGUUACGAUGUGUAGCGAGGUUAAGUGAUUGAGUCACGGAGCCGAAGCGAAAGCGAGUUUGAAAAGAGCGGAAGUUGCAUGUCGUAGACCCGAAACCGGAUGACCUAUCCAUGAGCAGGUUGAAGCAGUGGUAAGACACUGUGGAGGACCGAACACACGCCUGUUGAAAUAGUCGGUGAUGACUUGUGGAUAGCGGAGAAAUUCCAAACGAAUCCGGAUAUAGCUGGUUCUCCUCGAAAUAGCUUUAGGGCUAGCCUCUGUCAAGAAUUCCGAAGGUAGAGCACUGAAUAGGCUAGGGGGUUUCACGACUUACCGAACCUUAUCAAACUUCGAAUGACGGAAAUUUGGUGACAGGGAGUCAGACAGUGGGAGAUAAGUUUCAUUGUCGAAAGGGAAACAGCCCAGAUCCACAACUAAGGUCCCAAAGUACAAGUUAAGUGGUAAAGGAUGUUUUGUCACUAAAACAACCAGGAUGUUGGCUUAGAAGCAGCCACACAUUAAAAGAGUGCGUAAUAGCUCACUGGUCGAGUGAUAAUGCGCCGAAGAUUACCGGGGCUAAAACUUGACACCGAAGUUUGGGGAUACACGCAAGUGUAUCGGUAGAGGAGCAAUGUAUGCGGGCUGAAGCCGUAUCGAAAGGGGCGGUGGACUGCAUACAAGAGAGAAUGCCGGCAUAAGUAGCGCAAGCGGAGCGAGAAACUCCGCCAUCGAAAGUCAAAGGUUUCCUGGGGAAGGUUCGUCCACCCAGGGUAAGUCGGGAGCUAAGUUGAGGCCGAAAGGCGUAGAUGAUGCACAAUCGGUAGAUAUUCCGAUACCACCGAGGAUAUAUACGAAGCAGGGACACAGGAGGAUAGCCGUACCGCGCUGAUGGACAAGUGCGGGCAAGCGUUGAGGCCGGGUGUAGGUGAAGUACCUACAUUCAAAGCUGGGGCGCGAUGCCGACCGAAAUAAAGUAGGGAAGGCGGUGAAUUCACGCUGGCGAGAAAAGCUGCUAAGUUAAGCUGAGGUGCCCGUACCGCAAACCGACACAGGUUGACGAGGAGAAAAUCCUAAGAUGAACGGGAUAACUCUUGUUAAGGAACUCUGCAAAAUGACCCCGUAACUUCGGGAGAAGGGGAGCCACGCGAGUGGCCGCAGUGAAGAGGCUCAAGCGACUGUUUAUCAAAAACACAGGUCUCUGCUAAAUCGCAAGAUGAAGUAUAGGGGCUGACUCCUGCCCAGUGCUGGAAGGUUAAGGGGAAGUGUCAGGGGAAACCCGAAGCACAGAACUUAAGCCCCAGUGAACGGCGGCCGUAACUAUAACGGUCCUAAGGUAGCGAAAUUCCUUGUCAGGUAAGUUCUGACCCGCACGAAUGGAGUAACGACUUGAGCGCUGUCUCAACAGGAGGCCCGGCGAAAUUGUAGUAUACGUGAAGAUGCGUAUUACCCGCGACUGGACGGAAAGACCCCGUAGAGCUUUACUGUAAUUUGAUAUUGAAUUUCGGCAAUUGAUGUACAGGAUAGGUGGGAGACUU
rnacentral:rRNA from 1 species